rnacentral:rRNA from 1 species
AGUCACUGACAUUAGAUACCCGGGUAGUCCCAGCCGUAAACUAUGCGCGUUAGGUGUACUGGUGACCACGAGUCACCGGGGUGCCGAAGGGAAACCGUGAAACGUGCCGCCUGGGAAGUACGGUCGCAAGGCUGAAACUUGAAGGAAUUGGCGGGGGAGCACCGCAACGGGAGGAGCGUGCGGUUUAAUUGGAUUCAACACCGUAAACUCACCAGGGAAGACUGUUACAUGAAGGCCGAGAUGAAGACUCUGCUAGAUUUUCAG